CCUACGGGCGGCAGCAGUGAGGAAUAUUGGUCAAUGGACGCAAGUCUGAACCAGCCAUGCCGCGUGCAGGAAGACGGCUCUAUGAGUUGUAAACUGCUUUUGUACGAGGGUAAACUCAGAUACGCGUAUCUGUCUGAACGUAUCUUACGAAUAAGGAUCGGCUAACUCCGUGCCAGCAGCCGCGGUAAUACGGAGGAUUCAAGCGUUAUCCGGAUUUAUUGGGUUUAAAGGGUGCGUAGGCGGUCUGAUAAGUUAGGGGUGAAAUCCCGGGGCUCAACUUCGGAAUUGCCUCUGAUACUGUUCGGCUAGAGAGUAGUUGCGGUAGGCGGAAUGUAUGGUGUAGCGGUGAAAUGCUUAGAGAUCAUACAGAACACCGAUUGCGAAGGCAGCUUACCAAGCUACUUCUGACGUUGAGGCACGAAAGCGUGGGUAGCAAACAGGAUUAGAUACCCCUGUAGUC
rnacentral:rRNA from 1 species